AACACCGGUAGGCAGAUGAAUUGCUCGACGGAACAGAAGUGGAGUUCACUAUCCCUGUUUCUCAACCUUGCACAUCAUCAACACUGAGACUCUUCGUUGAUCGCUUACAUGGAUCGUCACGUUCGCUGGGGUUGUGUGAGUAAAUCUGCUCUUCAGUGGGAGGGUCAUCUUCCUGCAUUACACAACUCUUGCCUUGAAACGGAGAAAAACACCGCUGGUGGAUCAAACAGACCCACAGAAAGGCCCCUACACUAAGAGGAACAGAGACAAUGUUUGACUGCAGUGAGGACUCCCCUCAUACCUCAACUCAUGCUCCUCUUGAUGCCCCCAAAACAUAUGAGCACAACUAUUGCUUUGCCAGCCCAAAGACUCUCACUGGACGGCUGCUUAAAGCAAUGAAACAAAUUAAUAAACACUCAGACAGAACCUUCAAAAAAAAACAAAAAACAAAAAACAAAACAGGAGAUACAAAAAAAUAAUUUCAAACCUUCAGAGCAUCAAGACCCUAAAGGAAUCUCAAUUGUUAAAAGAGAAUGGAGCAUUCAUGCUUGAAAAUUGCCCUGAUGUACAACUAGAAAUUCUGAAGAGAGAUCAAUUUAGUCAUGCACAAUACCACCCAGCCUUAAAAUCAUUUGCACUUACAUUGCAGUACUACUCAGCUAAGGCCUACAAGUAUGUCAGGGAGACAUUUAGCUUGGGGUUGCCUCACCCAUCCACAAUAAGAAGAUGGUACAGCAGCAUUGGAGGAGAUCCCGGAUUUAGUGAGGAAAUCCUAACUUCUCUUGAAGCCAAAGCAUCCGCUGCACAGGCUAAAGGACAGGAGACCCUCUGUGCACCAAUGAUGGACGAAAUGUCCAUCAUGAAGCACAUAGAGUGGGAUGGGACAAGAAUGAAUGAAUAUGUGGACAUUGGCACAAAAAUAGCAAAUGAAGGUAUUUCAAUGGCAACAGAAGCACUGGUACUAAUGGCUGUCUGCAUUCAUGAGCUCUGGAAAGCUCCAGUAGCAUAUUUUUAAUGCAUGGCAUGACUGGGUCAGAGAGGGCUACACUGGUGCGACAAUGCAUCCUAAAACUGUCUGAUGUUGGAGUAAGGGUGGUGUCUCUCACAUGUAAUGGUCCAUCAACACACUUUUCCAUGCUUCGGGACCUUGGCGCAGACCUGCUACCCACAGAUUUGAACCCCAUUUUCCCAUAUCCAUCAAACAGUCACUGAAGGGUCCACAUCAUCUUGGAUGUGCCAUAUGCUGAAGCUGGUAUGUAACACCUUGGGGUCCUGUGGCAUUAUUGUAGAUCCCUGUGGAAACAACAUAAAAUGGGAAUAUAUUAAAUCUUUACAUGAACUGCAAAAAGAUGAAGGGCUACAUCUAGGCAACAAAAUUAGAUCAGCUCACCUAGACUGGCAAAGUCAAAAAAUGAAGGUAAACCUUGCUGCUCAGACCCUCAGCACCAGUGUGGCAGUUGCCAUUUCACCCACUAUUGCACUUGUGUAUAUGGUUGUGUGACAAUAAAAGUGAUUUGAGAUGCCCUACGGUUCUGCGACCAACACCUGCAACUCCCCCAGUCUGCUGGAUGUGAGCUGAUGUGUAAAUUCAUUGAAACUUUUGAUCGAUUUUUUGACCUGAUGAAUUCCAGAAACCACAUGGCCAGGGGAUUUGAGUACAGUGAGACAACAAACAUGGCCUUUCUAACAGAGGCUUACAAUUACAUCAAUGGUUUGAGAGAGCCAGGUAUCAAUAGGCGAUCCCUUGUGACAACAGGCAAGAAAACUGCCUUCCUCGGCUUCCUUAUGGCAAUAAAAAGUUUUAAACACUUAUAUGAUGAGAUAGUGAGACCACAGACAUCACAGCUACGGUAUCUGUUGACCUACAACUUUAGCCAGGACCACCUUCAGCUGUUUUUUUGCAGCCAUUUGCUCUGCUAAUGGAUUUAACAACAAUCCCACAGCAAGGCAAUUUAAGUCAGCUUUCAAAAGAAUGGUAGCAAGACAUGCCAUCAGAGCUAGUGGCAACUGUUCUCCACUGGAUAGCACAGUGGUACUGGAGGCAACACCUUCUGAUAUGCUGGCAUUUCGGCAAAGUGACAUUCAGCCUGAAACUGAAGACAGAGAAAAAAACAUCACUGUAAGUCUUCCCAGCUUGUCCAUGUUCAAAGAGGCUGUGGUGGGGUACAUUGCAGGCUUUAUAGUUAAAACAACUAUGAAGAAGAUUCAGUGCACUACCUGUUUAUUAGCACUCAGUGCCAAGAGCUGUUCCCAAGAUGAACUUGGACACACACUGAUCGAUAUGAAUUCCCAAGGUGGACUUAUCAGUCCGUCAGACAGCGUCCUGAAAGUCUGCAAGACAGCUGAGAGACUUAUUCAUCAGCACACACUCACAAGGCCCAUCUCUGAAUUUGACACCAAAUUUAAAUCCAGGGUCUCCUUAAAGGUUCUGGAACUCCAUGGUGGUUCAGCAUUCAAGGAUCUUGAGGCACACAUGUUCAACCUAGAACCAUACAAUAAUCACAUCUUCAAACUCAUAAAGUGGAUUGCAGAAAGCUACACUAACAUCAGGCUCCACUUCAUUGCCAAGGAAACAUGUGCUGCAUCACACUCUAAACGGCUUAGUAAAACUCUGGGCAAGCUUGUACUGCAAAAUAAUCAGUAAGAUAUAAAGAUCAGUUCCUACUGCCAGCAACCCUCUCUGCAAGAGCCAAGCCCAUCCCUAGAAAUUAAAUUUUGACAAUUAUUAUCUUUUUUUUUUUUUAACAAUAUGUAACAAAGAUAAAAAAAAAGAAAAGAAAAAGAGAGAGAUGAGAACUGUAUUAUACAUACAUUAAAAGGGAUAUUUCACCCAAAAUGUAAAUUCUGUCAUCAUUUACUCAACCUCAUGUCCUUCCAAACCUGUAUUACGUUUCCUGUGGAACACAAAAGAUGAUUUUUUAAUGAAUGUUUUUGUCAAUAUAAUGAGCUGUUUUGCUCACCAUUUACUUUCCUUAUAUGGAAUACAAAAUACUGUUUUGGUUCUGCAAAAGAAAGUCACAUGGAUUUGGAAGGACAUGAGGUUGAGUAAAUGAUGACAGAAUUUACAUUUUUGGGUCAACUUUUCUAUUAACAUUAAAAGUUAUAACUAUCUGAAACACAGUAAUUUUAUAAGACUAUUGUUAUACUGCAUGUUGCAAAAGUAUCUACACUGCAAAUAAAAACAGAUAGUAUAAUAUUUUUUACUCAGUUAUUGUUGUCUAUUCUCUUACCUGUUAAAACAGCUCUUCAGUGAAGCCAGGCUGACCAAUUCCGGUUUUAUCUAACAUUGAAUGGGAUGAUUAUUUAAUAAUGCCCAUGAGUUGGGCUGUGUUCAGGACAGCACUGCAAAAAGUACAAAUCAAAUUAAUGCAAGCCCACAUUAUAUUCAUCAGUUGUAUCUCCGGUGUUGAUCUGUAAAUAGAUAUCCAACUUGACCAAAAGCUAACUUGGUGAGCUAUACUGUUAAUCAUUGUGGUUAUUUUCCUAAACUAACAUUAGCUACAUAGCUAAUAUUCAUUUAGCCUAAGGAAAAUAAUCACAAUGAAUGUUCAACGUAAACAAAAGUUACACCGCAUAAUUAUAUAUUCAGAAUUAACACUUUAAAGCCUGCAAAACAUAUGUUUGAAAAUGUCUACUGAUAUCUUACCUCAGUUUCUUAAACUUGUUUCUGCUGAGGUAACACGUGUGCCGCUGAAGGUAAUGCUGCUGCAGUAAAGAGUAACAUAACACUCUCGCACUUAGAAUAAGCAGGGGGAAAAAAUGAGAGUCCAAAUAAAUUACUAAUUACAUGUAUAGGAAGAUUGCAUUGUGAUGUUGUAUAUGCAUACUUUUUUUUUUUUUUUUUUUUUUUAGUGACUGGAUGGGUAAAAAUUUUAUUCUCACCAAAAACAGAUGAUUUCCCAUUAAGACCCAUAGGGAGUACAGAAUGUUCUUCACUGCUGUGACGUCAUGAGCAAUCCAGUUCUAAAAUCAGCAAAAAAAGAAUGUCCCUAUUUCAGGACACUGUAUUUUAAAGAUAAUUUAGUAAAAAUACAAAUGACUUUACAGAUCUUUAUUGUAAAGUGUUUAAACAAUGUUUUCCAUGCUUGUUCAAUGAACCAUAAACAGUUAAUGAACAUGCACCUGUGGAACGUUCGUUAAGACACUAACAGCUUACAGACAUUAGGCAAUUAAGGUCACAGUUAUAAAAACCUAGGACACUAAAGAGACCUUUCUACUGACUCUGAAAAACACCAAAAGAAAGAUGCCCAGGGUCCCUGCUCAUCUGCAUGAAUGUGCCUUAGGCAUGCUGCUGUAUGGAGGCAUGAGGACUGCAGAUGUGGCCAGGGCAAUAAAUUGCAAUGUCCGUACUGUGAGAUGCCUAAGACAGCAAUACAGGGAGACAGGAAGGAGAGCUGAUCAUCCUCGCACUGCACAGGAUCAGUACAUCCGAAUAUCACACCUGCAGGACAGUUACAGGAUGGCAACAGCAACUGCCCGAGUUACACCAGGAACGCACAAUCCCUCCAUCAGUGCUCAGACUGUCCGCAAUAGGCUGAGAGAGGCUGGACUGAGGGCUUGUAGGCCUGUUGUACGGCAGGUCCUUACCAGACGUCACCGGCAACAACGUCGCCUGUGGGCACAAACCCACUUUCGCUGGACCAGACAGGACUGGCAAAAAGUGCUCUUCACUGAUGAGUUGUAGUUUUGUCUCACCAGGGGUUAUGGUCAGACUCGCGUUUAUCGUCAAAGGAAUGAGCAUUACACUGAGGCCUGUACUCUGGAGUGUGAUCGAUUUGGAGGUGGAGUGUCCGUCAUGGUCUGGGGCGGUGUGUUACAGCAUCAUCGGAUUGAGCUUUAAUCUGAGGAGGUUGAUGACUGACCACUGACAGCUGAAAAACUGGACAAUUAAUGUUAGGUAAUUUAAAGUAGGACACUGAUAUGUUAGUAUAGUAAUCCUGAAUGUGUUUCUUGAAGCACCAUGUAAAUACAAUAGUUGCCUUUAUGAAUAUGGUAAUGAUAUAUCAAAUUACCAUGGUAGUACCAUGGUAUUCUUUGCAGUACUUUGAAGCACCAUGUAAAUACAGAAUGGUAUAAAUAUGGUAAUUGUAUGUCAAAGUAUCAUAGUAUUUCCAUCUGAUACAUCAGAUUUCAUAUUGUUAUUGCCCAGAUUUGCUUAAAUACACAAGGAAUUUGGCCUCUGAUCAGAAGCUUCCAGUACGUACAGAAAUACAACAGCUAGACAAAUAAUUACAGGAUAAGAUGAAUAGUAAAUGUUUUAUACAGGAAUGUGCAAAGAAAAUAAUGCUCAAAUGGCUGUGGAUUUGUAGAUGCAGCGAAAACCGAACAUGUAGUGCAUGUUCACUGAGUUACAAUAUUCCGCACCCCCUGGCAGGGCCCAGCGGAAGGGUAAGCCCCAGGGCCCCACGGUACCUUAAUGCGGCCCUGGUAGCUUGUAUAAAUAUGAAUUUACAUGUUUGUUUGUUUUUUUUCAUGCACAUACAUUUUAUAUUGCACCAUGCUGUAUACUUGUAUACUGUAUUGCGCUAUAUAGUAUUGUACUAUGCUAUACCAUGGCUUUGAUAAACAUCAUGUCAAAAAGUCUUUUAGAUGUUUUGUUUACCCUUCCUAAGGUUUUUGACUCCUGAUUUAGCCUAGGCCAGGGGUUUUCAGACUUAUUAAUUGAAGGACUCCAAAUGUGAUGCUUCUCUUUUCAGGGAACCACUUCCUAAAAUAUAAAGGCAGUGUACAUUUUUAUGUAGGCUAAACCGACCCAUUUUGUACUCUCGUCUGAUGUUAAAUUAUUACAUUAUUUUUUAUACUGAGCCAAAACAGAUUAUUAAAAUGUCAUGUGGCAAAUAUUCAAAUAGUUAAUUUAUACAUUUUUACCCAAUAUUAGUAUAUUAGAGAAAUAUAAUUUUUAUAUGUAUAUUAUAUUUAUAUAUUAAUAUUUGUAUAGAAUUUUUUUUUUCUUUCUUUUUUUUUGCAGUUAUUAUUGUUCCAAAGCGGCUUUACAGGAAAUAUUGCCGUUCAGGAAAUAUUGCUGUUCAACCAGUGAACAAGCUAAGAACAACAGUGACGAUGAAAAAAAAAAAAUCCUUAGAAAGUUAAAAUAUAUACAAUAUGUACAAUAAGUAUGUAUAUGUUCAUACAUAUUUAUAAACAUAUAGUAUAUGUUGUAAGGAAAAAGAAAUGAACACUUGAAAAUAUUUUUUUUUUUUUUUGCAGAUUGUUUUAUUUAUUUUUGUACUUUUAUAGAUUUUGUAAAAUCUUUUAAUUUUCUCUCAAAAUUCCUGGGCCCCCAUC